rnacentral:misc_RNA from 1 species
AACGCACCUUGCACCCUUUGGCAUUCCGAAGGGUAUGCUCGUUUGAGUGUCAUUGUACUCUCACACUCCCAAUCCCUUUGGAUUGGGAGCGGUGGACUUGGGUGUUGCCACUUGACUGAGGCUCACCUGAAAUAUGUUAGUGCACCUCUUGAUUGGACAUAGUACGGCGUGAUAAGUGUCUUCGCCGGCUCCUCGCAAAGAGGGUGGCCGAUCAGGAGCUCUGUUGCUUCAAACUGUCUUCGGACAAUCUUCUGACAACUUGACCUCAAAUCGAGUAGGACUACCCGCUGAACUUAA